UACAGAGGGGGCAAGCGUUGUUCGGAAUUACUGGGCGUAAAGGGCGCGUAGGCGGCCUGUUAAGUCGAACGUGAAAUCCCCGGGCUCAACCCGGGAACUGCGUCCGAUACUGGCAGGCUUGAAUCCGGGAGAGGGAUGCGGAAUUCCAGGUGUAGCGGUGAAAUGCGUAGAGAUGUGGAGGAACACCAGUGGCGAAGGCGGCUUUCUGGUCUGUAACUGACGCUGAGGCGCGAAAGCGUGGGGAGCAAACAGG
rnacentral:rRNA from 1 species